rnacentral:lncRNA from 1 species
AUGCAGGGGACAGCGGGCAGCUGGCGCCAUCAGGGCGGGGGGCGGGGACGGGCCGGGGCCUGCAUGUUAAAAGACACCGGCUCCCCACGGCGAGCCGGCCCCAGGAGACAAAACCUGGCCUUCUGGCCAUCGGGCCACCGCUGGGGACGGUCCACCCGUGGGCUGGAGCCGCAGCCGCGUGGGGAGAGACGCCGCUGGCCUGUCCCGGCUGGGGUGGGGCUGCCAGAAAAGACACAGGCCACGCGGGGAGACGAACAGUCUCCCAGCAGGAGUGGGUCCCUCGCCAUAUGCGGGACACACCGAUGCCACCGCGGCGUCUCGGGGAUGCACGUUUAUCUGCGGGGCCUGAAUUUUUAUUGGACAAAUCUGCCACCCUGGUCGGGGGUGCUGGGGGAGCAAAAAAGAGCUCGUCAACAGCCCCCUCAACUUGUGCCUCUGCGGGUCCCAGCCUCAGGGACGGCCCCGCGGUCCCCUCCGCCCCCACCGCCAGGGGCUCAGCCAGAGGCCUGUGUCGGCCUCCCCUCUGGACCCUGGCCUGUCCACCGUCCCUCCCAUCUGCCACCUGCCCUGCAGACCCGGCCAGGGGCCGUCGACUCCCGCCUGUCCCCCUCCUGCCCUUCCUCGCCCCUCGAAGGCUCCACCCCCUCCUUCCCGAGAGACCCGAGGGGGCCCUCGGCUGCUCUGAAUCCGACAGGUGCUCCCGCCAUGAAGGCCCCUUCCGCCAUGGGCUCCAACCAACCCCGACCCCCAGCCCCCUCCUCCAGCCGCUCGAGGGAGCUGUGGUUGCCCAAAAGCUUCCUGCUCUCCCAUCACCCCAACCUGAGUCAGAUCCCGCCCUCCUCCGCCCACAGCCCUCCAGGACUCCCAUCUCCCUCAGGAGAGAAGCAGAGUCCUCCUCGUGCCCCCCAGGCCCUGCACGACCUGCCCCGUCCCCUCCCUGCCCUCCCUCCUCCCUCUCUCCCCCUCCUCCUUCUGCUCCAGACACAUGGCCUCCUCUUAUUUCUCCAGCCAGGCCUGGUCCUGUCCCAGGACCUUUGCACGGGCUGUUCCCACGGCGUGGAGCACACCUCCUCCAGAGAGCCACAUGUUUAG